rnacentral:rRNA from 1 species
AUUGAACGCUGGCGGCAGGCCUAACACAUGCAAGUCGAACGAGUGGCGGACGGGUGAGUAAUGUCUGGGAAACUGCCCGAUGGAGGGGGAUAACUACUGGAAACGGUAGCUAAUACCGCAUACCAUCGGAUGUGCCCAGAUGGGAUUAGCUUGUAGGUGAGGUAACGGCUCACCUAGGCGACGAUCCCUAGCUGGUCUGAGAGGAUGACCAGACACACUGGAACUGAGAGACGGUCCAGACUCCGACGGGAGGCAGCAGUGGUGAAUAUGGCACAAUGGGCGCAAGCCUGAUGAAGCCAUGACGCGGUUAUGAGGAAGGCCUUCGGGUUGUAAAGUACUUUCAGCGGGGAGGCGUUACCCGCAGAAGAAGCACCGGCUAACUCCGUGCCAGCAGCCGCGGUAAUUC